AACGAACGCUGGCGGCAUGCCUAACACAUGCAAGUCGAACGAGACCUUCGGGUCUAGUGGCGCACGGGUGCGUAACGCGUGGGAACCUGCCCUUAGGGUCGGAAUAACUCCCCGAAAGGGGUGCUAAUACCGGAUAAUGUCUUCGGACCAAAGAUUUAUCGCAUUGGGAUGGACCCGCGUUGGAUUAGCUAGUUGUUAGGGUAAAAGCCUACCAAGGCGACGAUCCAUAGCUGGUCUGAGAGGAUGAUCAGCCACACUGGGACUGAGACACGGCCCAGACUCCUACGGGAGGCAGCAGUGGGGAAUAUUGGACCAUGGGCGAAAGCCUGAUCCAGCAAUGCCGCGUGAGUGAUGAAGGCCUUAGGGUUGUAAAGCUCUUUUACCCGGGAUGAUAAUGACAGUACCGGGAGAAUAAGCUCCGGCUAACUCCGUG
rnacentral:rRNA from 1 species